GAUGAAGAACGUAGCGAAAUGCGAUACGUAAUGUGAAUUGCAGAAUUCAGUGAAUCAUCGAAUCUUUGAACGCAUAUUGCGCUCUCUGGUAUUCCGGAGAGCAUGCUUGUUUGAGUAUCAGUAAACACCUCAACUUCCAUAUCUUUUUUGAAAUGGGAGUUGGACUUGAGUGAUCCCAACGCUUUUCCUCACCGAAAAGUGGCGGGUUACUUGAAAUGCAGGUGCAGCUGGACUUUUCUCUGAGCUAUAAGCAUAUCUAUUUAGUCUGCCUAAAAAACAGAUUAUUACCUUUGCUGCAGCUAACAUAAAGGAGAUUAGUUCUUGUGCUGACUGAUGCAGGAUUCACAAAGACAGGCUUCGGCCGACUUUGUAAACGCGAUCUCAAAUCAAGUAAGACUACCCGCUGAACUUAAGCAUAUCAAUAAGCGGAGGA
rnacentral:misc_RNA from 1 species